rnacentral:lncRNA from 13 species
AUGCUAACCCAAUCAUACUCACACUCUCUCUCUCUCUCUCUCUCUCUCUCUCUCUCUCUCUCUCUCUCUCCAGGUAUCUGCAGGAAGAACAGCCAACCACAACCAGAACUAGAAGCAGAGGCACCACCAGCAACAUUAGUAGAGGCAGAGCCAGAGGUAGAGGUAGCAGCAGAUACAAAACUACAGGAAGAGGCCGAAGCAGAGGCACCACUAGAGAUGUUAGUAGAGGCAGAACCAGAGGUAGCAGCAGAUACAGAACCACAGGAAGAGGCCGAAGCAGAGGCACCACCAGAGAUGUUAGUAGAGGCAGAACCAGAGACUGAGGAACCACCAGAAACAUUGGUAGAGACCGAGGUAGUGGUGGCUGAACCAGCAACUGAGGUAGAAGCUCUAGUGGAAGCUGAGGUGGUGGUGGAAGAUGAAGCAGAGGUGGUGGUGGUGGUGGUGGUGGAGAUUAAGGCUGAAACCGAGGCUGAGGUGGGGAAUGCUGAGGCUGUGGCAGAGUCUGAGGCAGUAGUGAAGGUAGAGACUGACGCUGGACCCAAGGAUGCUGAGGCAGAGUGACAUCCAUGGCCGUCGCCACAAGCCGUACGUGACUGGCCUGCCAUGACGCUGCUGUGAGAGGAAGUUGACUCGGGAAGAGGAGCAAGCUGAGAAAGAGGCUGGAUCUAAUUGUUGGGAUGGGUGGUUUAGUAGAAGUGUGACACUCCGGCUUACCAGGGUCCUAAUGGGUAAUUUUCUGUGAUGGGGGAGAUGGUCACAUGGGUGACUUUCUCAGGCUGACCAACCAGGGAUCACUUUACUAUAACUGGGUUGUGCCUCCCUUUUCUCCAGAUUGUGCACUAUAACACCCCCGUCCUGUUACCUCUGGAUCUUCCAGCAUCACCUGUCUGUGGGCCCAAUUCAGAAACAACCCGUAGUCCCUAUCCUCUAGGCACUUGUGUAGACCUGAACGGAGUGGAUGGGUGUGAGCAAUGUGGCUAAUAUUCCACCUAGCCUAUCGGAGAGAAAGGCGGAGCUACCACCAUGUUGUCCUGUCUACACCAAGUGUCUACCUAGAGCAGUGGUUCUCAACUUUUUCUGAACCGGGGCAUACCUUGAGGUGAGACAAAUUCUGUGGCACACCUAAAAUAUCCCUAUUAAUCGAUUUUAGUGGAAAUGACGUCCAUUUCACCCAAACUGCUAUUUUCUGUAACAAAUGCUUUUCUUAUAGAUAAAUAGGGUUAAUUUGUGUGUAUCCAAGAGUGCCUCGUGACUCCGUGCUAGAAAUUUACAAAAAUGUAGCUCUUGGGGAAUAGGUCAUUAGUUUUGAGCCGUUUUGGUUAGAGAUUUGUUUUUUUCUGCAUUGUAAAGAUGUAACCACCGAUAAAGCCAUGCUCCCCAUAUUUUUCUAUGGCAGAGGCUGUGGAACAGCUAAGCUUAAUCAGACGUGCUAGUGGUUCUCAGUCACAGGCAAAGUUUUUUUUUAAAUGAUUCAAAUGACUUUGCUUGCGAUGCGCAACCCUCAGAUGAUACAAAUGUUACAGCCUGACCGGACUUGAAAUGUUUGAGUGUUUUAAAGUAUUUUUUAAAUAAGAUUAGGGAAAAGUUUCAAGUUCCUCAAGGCACAUCGGUUGAAAACCCCUGGCAUAGAAGUUAGGGGCUAAGGAUUGUUUCUGGACAGGGUCAUGGUCUCAACCAUGAGCACACAAAUGGUUUGAAUAUCAGUCUUUUAAGCUUAUUUUAUGUUCCAGUGUACUUCUACAUCUUUAUCAUGAUUCUGUCUGCUCUCCUCCUUCAGGGAGUGUUGUUUUUAGCUUUAUUUGCACAAGGUUUUGUGAACGUAACAGAG